rnacentral:rRNA from 1 species
UGCUUGGGAAUAUGCCUUAUGGUGGGGACGAACAGUUGGAAACGACUGCUAAUACCGCAUGAUGUCUUUGGACCAAAGUGGGGACCGUUCGGGCCUCACGCCAUAAGAUUAGCCCAAGUGGGAUUAGCUAGUUGGUGAGGUAAUGGCUCACCAAGGCGACGAUCCCUAGCUGGUUUGAGAGGAUGAUCAGCCACGCUGGGACUGAGACACGGCCCAGACUCCUACGGGAGGCAGCAGUGGGGAAUAUUGCACAAUGGGCGCAAGCCUGAUGCAGCCAUGCCGCGUGUGUGAAGAAGGCCU